UCGGAUAGAAGGAGCAGAGUUCAUGGCUGCUGGAUGUAUAGCAUGGCUACCUCGGAAAUGUGCCCCCGCGAAUUCGAAAAAGGAUGCUGGGAGGCAGGUUUGGCCAGUGCAUUUCGGCCGAUGCGCAGGUCAGGCAGGUUUCGCCUACCGCGCACGCAACAUGUUGUUUGACUGGGUGUGGAACCUGGGAAUGGCCGUGGUAAGCACCGUGGUUGCACAUAUGAACGGUAUCACAUUGUUACGGUCUUACCAUGCUGGACCGUAACGGAGAUCAAUCAAACACCAGAAACAUUCCAGAAAUGAGAAGAACUGGAAGAGACAGGUAGAGAUACGAAGAAGAGGGAGUCGAGACAGGAAAGAAUGACAGCUAGCAGAAUAGAAUUGUGAUUUCUCCUUUCCAUCAUUGAUUCCCUAAUCACGUGAUGCUUACAACUUUAUACUCAGGUUUUACAACGGCCUUGGGCCCACCUCACAACAACCUUUCCCACCGAAUGAACGCCAGCGCAGAAAUCACGCACAACACCCUCGCCACCAAGUCUGACGCUCGUCCGAUGAUAACACGAACUGUAGCACGUCCAGCACCCUUCAGUUGUUUCUGCAACAUCACCAC
rnacentral:lncRNA from 1 species